ACGUAGGUGGCAAGCGUUGUCCGGAUUUACUGGGUGUAAAGGGCGUGUAGCCGGGUCGGCAAGUCAGAUGUGAAAUCCACGGGCUUAACUCGUGAACUGCAUUUGAAACUGUUGAUCUUGAGUAUCGGAGAGGCAAUCGGAAUUCCUAGUGUAGCGGUGAAAUGCGUAGAUAUUAGGAGGAACACCAGUGGCGAAGGCGGAUUGCUGGACGACAACUGACGGUGAGGCGCGAAAGCGUGGGGAGCAAACAG
rnacentral:rRNA from 1 species